UUAAGUUGGGGACGUCUAGCGAGACUGCCAGUGAGUAAACUGGAGGAAGGUGGGGAGUGACGUCAAAUCAUCAUGCCCCUUAUGACCUGGGCUACAAACGUGAUACAAUGGCUGGAACAAAGGGAUGCGAAGCAGUGAUGUGGAGCGAAACCCAUAAAAACAGUCUCAGUUCGGAUUGAAGUCUGCAACUCGACUUCAUGAAGUCGGAAUCGCUAGUAAUCGCGGAUCAGAACGCCGCGGUGAAUACGUUCUCGGGGUUU
rnacentral:rRNA from 1 species